UGUCUAUUGAAUAAGAAUAAUAGAUAAAUUCUGCUCUCUGCCUAAAUCGUAAAGGGCUGCAGUAUUUUGACUGUAUUAAGGUAGCAUAAUCAUUAGUUUCUUAAUUAGAAGCUGGUAUGAAAGGCAAAACUAAAAAAUUUUAUAUUUUAGAAAAAGGUGAAUUUUGUUAUUUUGUGAAAAAACGAAAUUAGGUUAAGGGACAAGAAGACCCUAAAAAUUUAAUUUUUCUAUAAAAUUAUUAUUAAGGGGUUAAAUAAAUAAAUAGUAUAAAAGAAGAGUUUAUCUGGGGCGGUGUGUUUAAAACAGAAUUUAAAUAUAAAGUAAGAUUUUGCGAUUUAGUAGAACUUAUUAGGUUGAAUAAGGGAAAAAUUACUUUAGGGAUAACAGCGUUAUUAUUUUGGAGAGUUCAUAUUGAUAAAAUAGAUUGCGACCUCGAUGUUGGAUUAGGAUAAAUUUUUGGUGCAGAAGUUGAGGGAUUUAGUCUGUUCGACUAUUAAAAUCCUACA
rnacentral:rRNA from 1 species